CCUACGGGACGCAGCAGUAGGGAAUCUUCCACAAUGGGCGAAAGUCUGAUGGAGCAACGCCGCGUGAGUGAAGAAGGGUUUCGGCUCGUAAAACACUGUUGGAAGUGAAGAAUGAUAUUGGGAGUAACUGGUCUUUGUUUGACGGUAAUUUAUUAGAAAGGAACGGCUAAAUACGUGCCAGCAGCCGCGGUAAUACGUAUGUUGCAAGCGUUAUCCGGAUUUAUUGGGCGUAAAGCGAGUGCAGGCGGUUAUUUAAGUCU
rnacentral:rRNA from 1 species